GUUCGUGAUCCACUCUAUAAAGACGCUGCGGCCGUGUAUGGCUUCAGUUUGAUACGUUUUCCCCCAACCUGAGCUGUGGAAAGAUGAGCUAGGUCCUGCCUAUCUCCUCGGGCUAGAGAAGAGCGGGAAGUAUAGCUGUAUGGUUGGAUAUAUACCUCGGGCCGAGUGGUCUGUGCCAGGAGGUUUCCAUGGAGAGGCUAAGGAAAUUCCACAUCCAUAGUAUGGACCAUAGAAAGCAUUCUAUCUGGAUGCAUCACGACUGGUAUGGCAACCGAUCUGCCUCGGAUUGUAAGAAACUACAAAAGAUUAUGAAUCCAGUUGAGGCCAUUGUGCAAACCAACUUUCCAUCUGUUGACUCCAUCUACACUUCUCCAUGCCUCGGAUGUAACAUCAAAGACUCCACCCACCCUGGUUAUAAGCCCUUCUAACCUCAUUCAGCAGGCAGAAGAUAAAAAGGGUGAAAGAACCGCUUCAAAAAUGUAAAUAACAUUCUUCAAUUUUAUAAUCCUAGAAAACCUGUACAAGGAGGACGGAUUGCACCUAAAUUGGAAGGAGACUAAUAUACUGGCAGGGAAAUUUGAUAGA